rnacentral:rRNA from 1 species
GACGUAGGGGGCAAGCGUUGUCCGGAAUCAUUGGGCGUAAAGCGCUCGUAGGUGGAUCGGUAAGUCUGCAAAGAAAGACCCGGGCUCAACUCUGGGCGUGCGGUCGAUACGGGCAUCACUUGAGUUCGGCAGGGGAGACUGGAAUUCCUGGUGUAGCGGUGAAAUGCGCAGAUAUCAGGAGGAACACCGGUGGCGAAGGCGGGUCUCUGGGCCGAUACUGACGCUGAGGAGCGAAAGCAUGGGUAGCGAACAGG